GACGAACGCUGGCGGCGUGCUUAACACAUGCAAGUCGAGCGGUAAGGCCCUUUCGGGGGUACACGAGCGGCGAACGGGUGAGUAACACGUGGGUGACCUGCCCUCAGCUCUGGGAUAAGCCUGGGAAACUGGGUCUAAUACCGGAUAUGACUCCAUGACGCAUGUUGUGGGGUGGAAAGCCUUGUGCGGCUGAGGAUGGGCCCGCGGCCUAUCAGCUUGUUGGUGGGGNGAUGGCCUACCAAGGCGACGACGGGUAGCCGGCCUGAGAGGGCGACCGGCCACACUGGGACUGAGACACGGCCCAGACUCCUACGGGAGGCAGCAGUGGGGAAUCUUGCGCAAUGGGCGAAAGCCUGACGCAGCGACGCCGCGUGAGGGAUGACGGCCUCGGUUGUAA
rnacentral:rRNA from 1 species